AUUGAACGCUGGCGGCAUGCCUUACACAUGCAAGUCGAACGGUAACAGGUCUUCGGAUGCUGACGAGUGGCGAACGGGUGAGUAAUACAUCGGAACGUGCCUAGUAGCGGGGGAUAACUACUCGAAAGAGUGGCUAAUACCGCAUGAGAUCUACGGAUGAAAGCAGGGGAUCGCAAGACCUUGUGCUACUAGAGCGGCCGAUGGCAGAUUAGGUAGUUGGUGGGAUAAAAGCUUACCAAGCCGACGAUCUGUAGCUGGUCUGAGAGGACGAUCAGCCACACUGGGACUGAGAGACGGCCCAGACUCCUACGGGAGGCAGCAGUGGGGAAGUUUGGACAAUGGGCGCAAGCCUGAUCCAGCAAUGCCGCGUGCAGGAUGAAGGCCUUCAGGUUGUAAACUGCUUUUGUACGGAACGAAAAGCCCUGGGUUAAUACCCUGGGGUCAUGACGGUACCGUAAGAAUAAGCACCGGCUAACUACGUGCCAGCCGCCGCAGUAAUAC
rnacentral:rRNA from 1 species